CACUUUCUUACUUUUAGAAAGAGAAACAAAUACAGUAAAGGCAUUUGAGAGAGAGAGACAGAUAGUGUGUGUGAGGACGAUGAAGCCGACGACGAUGACGAUGACGAUGAAGACGAAGAGGACGGCAAUGAAGAAAGCAAAGGAUGGGUGAUUUUGUUUAACUAUACUAAGUUUCCGCAAGUUUCGAUUUGCACAGAUUUGUUAUUUUCGGGUUAAUAGAUUGAUUAUGUUUGAUCUACCCUGUGGUUUUCUCUUCUCCUAUCCCUUCUGGGGUUGCUUCGUUCCUGCAGAGCAGAACUUUUCGUCUGAGAUUUGUUCACUUCUGCUCGCCUAGGUUCGUAGCUCCGUCCUGUGCUCAAAUCUACGGCUCAUGCUCCUCCAGAAAAGCCAGUGUAAGAGCUGUGCUUACUCACUUUGCCUAUUUGUUAGAUCAACCUGCUUCCCUUGCAGCCAGUGUAAGAGCUGUGUUUACUCACUUUACAUGCCUCUUAGAUCAUGUAAGUCAGUAUACAACAGUUGGGCUUGAACGAGCCAGAGACAGCCUUAUUGAAGCUGCUGCUCCCUUCCCUAUGAAGCAAAUUUUUGACACAUAGGGUCAGAAUGCUGAGUACAUUGUUAAAGUCACUUUCUUAGAGUUGCAUAAUGAGGAGAUCACUGACUUGCUCGCCCCUAAGGAGAUACGUAGGGUUCCGGUGGAGGAUAGGCAGAAAAGACACUUGCCUCUCAUGGAAGAUGGGAAAAGUCGUGUUCUUAUUGGCACAUACUUCUUGAAUUGGCCCUGCACUCAUUGGCAAGGUUUGUUACAUACAAAUCCUCACUCUCUGGAAAUAAGUAAGCUCAUACUUUUAUGCAUUGAUUUACUUGUAAUUUUGGCAUGAGAAAGAACAAACUAGCAGAUCUGUACUUAUGUAUAUCAAACAAACUUAUGCAGCCUUCUUUUGUUGGGCCUUUUGUAAUCAUAAA